GUGGGGAAUCUUCCGCAAUGGACGAAAGUCUGACGGAGCAACGCCGCGUGAGUGAUGACGGCCUUCGGGUUGUAAAGCUCUGUGAUCGGGGACGAAUGGCUGGUAUGCUAAUACCAUAUCAGAGUGACGGUACCCGAAUAGCAAGCCACGGCUAACUACGUGCCAGCAGCCGCGGUAAUACGUAGGUGGCAAGCGUUGUCCGGAAUUAUUGGGCGUAAAGCGCGCGCAGGCGGCUUCUUAAGUCCAUCUUAAAAGUGCGGGGCUUAACCCCGUGAUGGGAUGGAAACUGGGAGGCUGGAGUAUCGGAGAGGAAAGUGGAAUUCCUAGUGUAGCGGUGAAAUGCGUAGAGAUUAGGAAGAACACCGGUGGCGAAGGCGACUUUCUGGACGACAACUGACGCUGAGGCGCGAAAGCGUGGGGAGCAAACAGGAUUAGAUACCCUUGUAGUCC
rnacentral:rRNA from 1 species